rnacentral:rRNA from 1 species
AACGAACGCUGGCGGCAUGCCUAACACAUGCAAGUCGAACGAGACCUUCGGGUCUAGUGGCGCACGGGUGCGUAACGCGUGGGAACCUGCCCUUAGGUUCGGAAUAACUCCCCGAAAGGGGUGCUAAUACCGGAUAAUGUCUUCGGACCAAAGAUUUAUCGCCUUUGGAUGGGCCCGCGUUGGAUUAGCUAGUUGGUAGGGUAAAAGCCUACCAAGGCGACGAUCCAUAGCUGGUCUGAGAGGAUGAUCAGCCACACUGGGACUGAGACACGGCCCAGACUCCUACGGGAGGCAGCAGUGGGGAAGAUUGGACAAUGGGCGAAAGCCUGAUCCAGCAAUGCCGCGUGAGUGAUGAAGGCCUUAGGGUUGUAAAGCUCUUUUACCCGGGAUGAUAAUGACAGUACCGGGAGAAUAAGCUCCGGCUAACUCCGUG